rnacentral:rRNA from 1 species
UACGUAGGGUGCAGGCGUUGUCCGGAAUUAUUGGGCGUAAAGGGCUCGUAGGCGGUUUGUCGCGUCUGCUGUGAAAACCCGAGGCUCAACCUCGGGCCUGCAGUGGGUACGGGCAGACUAGAGUGCGGUAGGGGAGAUUGGAAUUCCUGGUGUAGCGGUGGAAUGCGCAGAUAUCAGGAGGAACACCAAGUGGCGAAGGCAGAUCUCUGGGCCGUAACUGACGCUGGAGGAGCGAAAGCAUGGGGAGCGAACAGG